AGCGAACGCUGGCGGCAGGCUUAACACAUGCAAGUCGAGCGCCCCGCAAGGGGAGCGGCAGACGGGUGAGUAACGCGUGGGAAUCUACCGUGCCCUGCGGAAUAGCUCCGGGAAACUGGAAUUAAUACCGCAUACGCCCUACGGGGGAAAGAUUUAUCGGGGUAUGAUGAGCCCGCGUUGGAUUAGCUAGUUGGUGGGGUAAAGGCCUACCAAGGCGACGAUCCAUAGCUGGUCUGAGAGGAUGAUCAGCCACAUUGGGACUGAGACACGGCCCAAACUCCUACGGGAGGCAGCAGUGGGGAAUAUUGGACAAUGGGCGCAAGCCUGAUCCAGCCAUGCCGCGUGAGUGAUGAAGGCCCUAGGGUUGUAAAGCUCUUUCAACGGUGAAGAUAAUGACGGUAACCGUAGAAGAAGCCCCGGCUAACUUCGUGCCAGCCGCCGCGGUAAGAC
rnacentral:rRNA from 1 species